rnacentral:rRNA from 1 species
UACGUAGGGUGCGAGCGUUGCCCGGAUUUAUUGGGCGUAAAGGGCGCGUAGGCGGCCACGCACGUCCGUUGUGAAAUCGCCCGGCUCAACUGGGCGGGGUCGGCGGAUACGGCGUGGCUGGAGCAAGCUAGGGGGCAAUGGAAUUCCCGGUGUAGUGGUGGAAUGCGUAGAGAUCCGGAAGAACACCGGUGGCGAAGGCGGCCUGCUGGGCAGUAGCUGACGCUGAUGCGCGACAGCGUGGGGAGCAAACAGG